UACAAGCACUCAUGUCCCUCUGCCCUGCGCCGCUGGGAUCAGAGGCACAGAGGGGCUCGGGGAACAGGGCAGUGCGAGCAAGGUAGUGGCGAGCCAUGUCCUCUGCGUGCCCGUGAGCACUGAGGCUGAAGGAGCUGGAUCUCAAAACAGAGGUGCAGUUCCCAGCUGGGCCAACCUUUCCCAUUUCUCAGGGAUGUCGCUGGGAUGUUAACAGGGAUGCAGGAGAGGCUGGCUGGGAGAAAUCUAAGCGGCUGCUUUUCCCAGGCUCCCCAGCAGUGAUGUAUCUGCCCAGUGCCAGUGAAGUGUUAUUGCCACGGGCUGGGUGGUAGCCCCAGGGCACCCUGCCAUCUCUCUGAGUCAGCUGGCCCAGAUAUGAAAGAAAAAACAGAGGUGGGACCUACCAACCCAGCAACUGCCACCCCAAAAUCUGCUGGCAUGGAGAAGGCAUGUUGGUAGGGCUGCAGAAACAGCCUGAGCUAUAUCCAAGAGGAUGCCUUCAGCCGAGGGAAGCCUCUCGCCUGCAGAAGCGUGCGGGAAACGUCUGCCCUCCUGUGUUCAAAGUCCCCUCCAAAGAGAAGCCAAGGGUGCACUGACCUCACGGAGUAAAUAUUUUCCAUGACAUCUUCCGACAUCUCCUUUUGGGCUCUGUACCUAUAGCUGACCCGGCUCCGGGUUUGCAGCCAGCCUGCCUGAACUCCGCUGGUGCAGGGAACGGGGCUGAAUUCUGCCUUCUCCUUGCUUCCCUACAUGUCCCCAUAAAAUGCCACUGCCUGAAGGUUUCAGUGACCUCUCUGGACCACCCCCCCAGGGACUUUGCUGGCAAACGAGGUGGCUUGUAGACACUGAAUCCUGCCAACUUGCUGUGAUGGUUUCUCCAACACCUCCCCUCACCCACUCGCAGAUAUAACACACUUGUGGUUACGGGCUGCUGCCAAGCCAGCUGGGAUGCUGGAGGCAGCAGCCUUAGAGCAGGCGCGAAGCAUCCGUGGGCCAGAGCUGGGAUGCAGGGAGGUUGUUUUGAAGUGGGAGCAACUUGUCACCAGGCAAAGGAGGGGACACUUACUGACUCCGUAUCCUUGCUGCUCACCCAGCUGAAUGAGAAGGAUGAUCCAACAGCUAUUUUCCACCUCCAGCCUCUUACUGCUCUUGUUGUGUUGUUCGCCUAUGGACUCCUUCCCCUGACAGCGCUCUUCUCGAGGGGACAGUCACAUCUGGCGCUGAUCCACGAUGGGUCUUGGCUGCUGGAUUUACAACGCAGAUCUCUUUUCGGCAGCCAGGGAAGUGUUUUCCACUUGAUCCACAGCUUGCCUGGUGGUAGCUUCACAGGAAUGCUUAAGGAUUUAGUGGAGUGCUUGGUUGGACCAGCCUGUGACUUCCAGAUAUUGUUCUGCACCUGCUGCAGAGCAAGUGAUGGACCUCCUCCCUUCAUCCCAUGCUCUUGAAGAAAUGUGUGUGUCUAUGUGUGUGGUGCCCAGCACUCCCCUAUGGCUGCAAGCCGCACGGUCUUGUGCUGACGCAUCAAAUGCACAGGCUGCUUUUGAUGAGCUGGAAAAGAGGGUGAGCUCAUUUGCCCGUCCACUGAAGAUGCACAUGUCACUGGCACAUUUUUGCACCUAUUUUUGUCUGCUCCUUGGAAGAGGCAUGAAUCCUUGCUCUUAACCAAGUGCUGCACUCCUCCUUGCAAAUACCAGGGUGGAUCUCUGCUCCUGGAGGACAUGAAGGCUGUUAUGGUGUAUCCCACCUGAAGGUGACAGCUCAGUAUCAGGGGAAAUGGGACUCUGCUGGAAGUACCUGCCUGUUGGACAUGGCAGGCUUUUGGGGAGGGGUGUUGCAUCAUAUGUUGGAGGUUGACACUUCGCUGGAUGUAUAAAUCUCGGCUUUCCUGGAGGCCUGGCUCUUCCCUGGGGCUGCUGCUCUGUCUCCUCGUGUUUCUGGGUAGAGGAAGCUGCAGCUAACCUCACCACAAACACAAAUUAGUUGUUUUUUUGUUGCUUUUUGGGUUGCGGGGUUUUUUUUGGUUUUGUGUGUUCAGUUGGAACAAUAAAACAUCUGUUCCUGAGCCCAGCAGCUGGACCAAAAUGAAAUGACGUUAGCAUCAAUUAUCCUCCGGGAUGGGGAGGCUGACGGGAGAAUGGUGCAGAUUUCCUUAACACUGAAUAACAAAUGAGAACAACAGCUUGGCUAGGUGGCUCGUGUUCCCGGAGAGUCUCCAAACAACCCGCCAGCUCCAGCCCUCACAAUGGGGCACCCACUGUUGUGCACCGCUGCUCUGGGUACCAAACAUUAGCUGUGGGGUGAGUGGCAGAAAUGCUUUUGCAAUGAUCAGAGAAUGAGACCCAUUUUUGGUGGAAGGGCUUACGGAUACUGUGGUGGCAGAGACUUUUCUGAAUGCACCAACACAAUAAAAAUACCCUGAUACAAAAUCAAAGCACUUUUUGGGGGGGGGGGGGGGCGUGCUGCAGGGCUGGAUGUGCACCCACCUGCUGCAGGGCCAGCGCAGAGAGCCCCAGCUGGGACAUCAUCUAUGGUGGGCACAGGCAGCCAGUCUGGAGCAGAGCUGGGGUUCACAGAGGGAUGGGAUGAUGCAGAAUCACGUUCCCUGGGUACAGAAAGGGGCUAUUAACGGGGAAAAAGGGAGGGGGGGGCGAUGGAGCACAAUGGCUCUGAUUUGUUGGCAGUCGUGACCUACAGUCCCUGGCAGCACCUCAAAGCAGCUGUGAAGUGCCAGUCGGUGGCGAUGCUUUGGCGCGUGAUACGGGCGCCUGACCCUGGCGUAAGGCUGGGACACGGGCUGCCCAGUGGGGAGGGCACCGACCCGGCUUCUCCUCCCUGGGGCCCUGCAGAGGAAACCCGAGCACACUUGUGAUGGGCUGAGCGCUCCUGGGACAUGGUGGCUUUGCUUUCCAGGGCUCUCCCCAAACCCAUCUGCCCUGCUAGCCAUGCCUGGGUAGAUUUUACCUCUUACAGGACUCAGGUUGCCUUUCUGCCCAAAGUUGGGUGGAUGCAGCCGCCGCUAUGGACAAGGUGGUGUCAGGUUCCAAGCCAAGGAUGGACGUGCAGAUACUGCGAGCGUGCACACACACAAAAAUACCCUCCUGUCCCAUCCUGAACAAGCUCACUGGAAGGUGGUUAUUCCCCCACGUCCCGGUAGCACAGAGAAAAACCGUGACUGUGGGAAAACUCAACAAAAUUAUGAGAGAGUAGCAUUUUUAUGAGCGAGCUGCUUUAUACCUGCACAGCCAGAUGCCUGAAUAACUUAAAGCAGGCUUCAGGAAAUAAUUUGGGCUGCUGCAAUUUUGAAGCCUCUAAAAUAGCUUUCCUGCUCCCAGGGGAGCUGUGAAUUUUUAGGCCUGACAGCUUCCAGCACCCCGCAGGUGAGGUACAGCUGCUCAGUGUGGAGAACCCCCCCGCCGUGGGGCAGGGCUGGGGGAAAAUGGGGCUUAUGGGGCUCACUAGUGAUGCUUGUUGCAAUUUUUGGAAGGAAAGUGAGUGUUUGGGAUGAGAAGCAAGGGAAAAAGCGCCUGCUUGAGAAUAACAGCUUGCUUCGAAAACCCAGCAGCAUCAAGCACCCAUUUUGUCUGGCUUCUUCCUUGAACGUCAUGGGUACCACCACGGGACAGUGUGUCUGUGAUGGGUGCGUGCCCUGGGCUCUGUUGCGGUGCAUCUGCACACCCAGGUGCACUCCAGUGCUGCAGCUCUCGCAGGAGCAUCACUCAGCAAAGACACUGCUGAGAAAACCCCCUUGCUUGCUUGCCUGAGCUGUUUUACUCUAAUCCCUAUUGCCUUUGGCCUCCAGCCUCAGUUAUAUCAACAAGGCACACUGGGCCAAAACUACCCCAGGUGACACGUCCGACGUGCAUCGCCUCUCUGCUCCGAGUCUGGGCUCUGUGGGUGCUCCUGCCCUGCCCUCUCCUACCAGAAAAUGGAGUCCAGCUGGGAAAAUCCCCAAAACUUCACUCAGAAGAAACUUGGCAGAAUUAGGAGCAAAAGUAAAGGAAGCUUUAGCUUAAAAGAAUAAUAAUUAGAAAAAAAUCACUUUUUGUCCCAGAGCAACUGAACUUACUCCAGUAUGUCUAUUUUUUGUUAUUUUGUGUACUGUACUUCAGCCUGUUUUCUCAAGCCUUGCAAAAGUGAGUGUGUCGUCAUUCUGUUUGCCUGUCCGUUCCCUUACUAACAUGCUGAACUGGCUGAUUUUGGGUAGGUCUGGCAAAGACAUUAAUUCCUCCGCAAUAUUCAGGUCUUUCUGGCUGUAUGAAAAUAGGUGCCAGUGCUGGAAGCUGGGCUGAUCUCUUGCAGAGGGGGAAAGGCCUGUUGGGUUCCUGGUUUCCCAAAAACUCCCGGGGCAGUAAUCCCAUUACCUGGAGCAUCAGGCAGCCGGGGAAGUGUCCGAGUCGGCACACAGCAGCCUGGGCA